rnacentral:rRNA from 1 species
AGCAGCCGCGGUAAUUCCAGCUCCAAUAGCGUAUAUUAAAGUUGUUGCAGUUAAAAAGCUCGUAGUUGAAUUUCGGGGUUAGUAGGUUGGUCAUGCCUCUGGUAUGUACUGGUCUCACUGAUUCCUCCUUCCUGAUGAACCGUAAUGCCAUUAAUUUGGUGUUGCGGGGAAUUUGGACUGUUACUUUGAAAAAAUUAGAGUGUUUAAAGCAAGCUAACGCUUGAAUACAUUAGCAUGGAAUAAUGAAAUAGGACGUUCGAUCCUAUUUUGUUGGUUUCUAGGAUUGACGUAAUGAUUAAUAGGGAUAGUUGGGGGCAUUAGUAUUCAAUUGUCAGAGGUGAAAUUCUUGGAUUUAUUGGAGACUAACUACUGCGAAAGCAUUUGCCAAGGAUGUUUUCAUUAAUCAAGAACGAAAGUUAGGGGAUCGAAGACGAUCAGAUACCGUCGUAGUCUUAACCAUAAACUAUGCCGACUAGGGAUCGGAUGAUGUUAAUUUUUUAAUGACUCAUUCGGCGCCUUACG